AAAUGCUCUGCUGGGUGCAGCUUGAUACGAUCGCAGAGGUCGAACCCUGAACAGUUGGGGCAAGUAUGGACACAACAUUCAAGCUUGAUACAGCUCUGAAUUUGGAUUGUGAUUAAAUAUUUGACACAGCAUAGGUUUCUGACACAGAAUGAAUGUGGUCUAAGAACUUAAAAAUUUUAAAUUGGACAUUCACCUUUUAUGGUCCAAUAUCCAAAAUCUAAAUACAUGGUUAGAUUCAGCAUAUCAAAGAACACCAAGAAUUCAAUUUUUGAUGAAAUCAAACAAAGUUUAAUUUUGGACCCUUUUGACCUCAAUGUGGACAAAGUUGAUAACGGGGCCCAAAAAUCAAAAAUCUAAAUACAUGGUUAGAUUCAGCAUAUCAAAGAUCCCAUAUAUUCAAUUUUUGUUGAAAUCAAACAAAGUUUAAUUUUGGACCCCGAUUUGGACUAACUUGAAAACUGGGCCCAUAAUCAAAAAUCUAAAUACAUAUUUAGAUUCAGCAUAUCAAAGAACCCUAAGAAUUCAAUUUUUGUUAAAAUCAAACUAAGUCUAAUUUUGGACCCUUUGGACCUUAAUGUAGACCAAUUUGAAAACUGAACCAAAAAUUAAGAAUCUAAAUACACGGUUAGAUUUGGCAUAUCAAAGAACCCCAAUAAUUCAAUUUUUGAUGAAAUCAAACAAAGUUUAAUUUUGGACCCUUUUGACCUCAAUAUGAACCAAUUUGAUAGCUGGACCCACAAAUAAAAAAUCUAAAUACAUGGUUAGAUUCAGCAUAUCAAAGAACCCCAUAUAUUCAAUUUUUGUUGAAAUCAAACAAAGUUUAAAUUGGACCCCAAUUUGGACCAACUUGAAAACUGGGCCCAAAAUCAAAAAUCUAAAUACAUGUUUAGAUUCAGCAUAUCAAAGAACCCCAUAUAUUCAAUUUUUGUUAAAAUCAAUCCAAGUUUAAUUUAGGACCCUUUGGACCUCAAUGUGGACCAAUUUGAUAACAGGGUCCAAAAAUCAAAAUACAUGGUUAGAUUCAGCAUAUCAAAGAACCCAAUAUAUUCAAUUUUUGUUGAAAUCAAACAAAGUUUAAUUUUGGACCCCAACUUGGACCAACUUGAAAACUGGACCCAUAAUCAAAAAUCUAAACACAUGUUUUGAUUCAGCAUAUCAAAGAACCCCAAGAAUUUAAUUUUUGUUAAAAUCAAACUAAGUUUAAUUUUGGACCCUUUGGACCUUAAUGUAGACCAAUUUAAGAAACGGGACCCAAAAUUAAAAAUCUAAAUACACGGUUAGAUUUGGCAUAUCAAAGAACCCCAAUAAUUCAAUUUUUGAUGAAAUAAAACAAAGUUUAAUUUUGGACCCUUUUGACCUCAAUAUGAACCAAUUUGAUAGCGGGGCACACAAAUAAAAAAUCUAAAUACAUGGUUAGAUUCAGCAUAUCAAAGAACCCCAUAUAUUCAAUUUUUGUUGAAAUCAAACAAAGUUUAAUUUUGGACCCCAAUUUGGACCAACUUGAAAACUGGGCCCAAAAUCAAAAAUCUAAAUACAUUUUUAGAUUCAGCAUAUCAAAGAACCCCAUAUAUUCAAUUUUUGUUAAAAUCAAUCUAAGUUUAAUUUUGGACCCUUUGGACCUUAAUGUAGACCAAUUUGAAAACUGGACCCAAAAUUAAAAAUCUAAAUACACGGUUAGAUUUGGCAUAUCAAAGAACCCCAAUAAUUCAAUUUUUGAUGAAAUCAAACAAAGUUUAAUUUUGGACCCUUUUGACCUCAAUAUGAACCAAUUUGAUAGCGGGGCCCACAAAUAAAAAAUCUAAAUACAUGGUUAGAUUCAGCAUAUCAAAGAACCCCAUAUAUUCAAUUUUUGUUGAAAUCAAACAAAGUUUAAUUUUGGACCCCAAUUUGGACCAACUUGAAAACUGGGCCCGAAAUCAAAAAUCUAAAUGCAUGUUUAGAUUCAGCAUAUCAAAGAACCCCAUAUAUUCAAUUUUUGUUAAAAUCAAACUAAGUUUAAUUUUGGACCCUUUGGACCUUAAUGUAGACCAAUUUGAAAACUGGACCCAAAAUUAAAAAUAUAAAUACACGGUCAGAUUUGGCAUAACAAACAAAUAAAUGUGGUCAAAGAUUUUACAAAUCUAAUGCGCCAUACUGUGCAAUUAAAGAUUACUUCUUGAAAUUUUUCAAUAUUUGAAAUUUGAAAAAAAAAUAAUAUUUGAAGAAUAAUUCUUUUUAAUUUCUGAAAUCUGAAAUGAGAAAAAUUUGACCCCCCACAAUUUCUUUUUACCCCCCCUCAAUUCUUUCCCUCAAGAUAUGGUCAUAAUCUCAAUUCAAAUUUCCAAUGGAAUUUGCAACCAUAAUUACCCAUUUAAAUUUACCAUAGUGCUAACUUAAUUUAUUUUAUAAUAGAAUUUAUAAUAUGGUGUCAAAUCUUUCAUAUGGAUUUUUUUGUAAAAAAAAAAAAAAAGAUGGAACAUUUGCAGAUAUUUUUAUUGGUCUUCCUUUAUAAAUAUGCAUUUCUUUAAACAUAAUUUAAAAGCAGUGUAAGGGAAGUAAUCAAAGCGUUGUAUGUGGAUUACCUCCCUUACACUGUUUUAAAUUAUCUUAAUUGUUCAUUAACCAUUACUUUAUACAUAGUUUAAAAGCAGUGUAAGGGACGUAAUUCAAAUGAUGUAUUUGAUUUAUCUCCCUUACACUGCUUUAAAUUAUGUUUUGUACUCAAGUAUUUGUCCAUAUAAAAAUGCUUGUUUUUUGCCCCUUUUAUGGCCCCUAAUUCCUAAAAUUUUGAGGCAAUUACCCCCAAAAUCAAUCCCAGCAUUCCCUUUGUGAUAUGGUACCUUGUGGUACAAUGUCAGAGAGAUCCAUACACUAAAACACAAGUUAUGUCUGGAAGUUACAAAAAUGCUUAUUUUUGGCCCCUUUUUGGCCCCUAAUUCCUUAACUGUUGGUACCAUAACCCCCAAAAUCAAUCAUACCAAUAUAUGAUCGCAAAAAUCUUUUUGCGGUCGUAUAAAAACUCCUACAAAGAGCCAACUGAAGAUUUUUACAAUAUAUUGACUUAUUUAUAGAUCUUGUCUUACUGACCAUUUUUUCUUGAAAGUUUCGAUUUAUCUUUUAUAUUUUUGAAGAUAAUAGACAAAAGCACAAAAAAGUGGUAAAAAUUUACAUUAAAGGACAAUUAUUGCAACAAUAAGCUGACUGACGAUUUCAGCCAUGCCAACUUAUUUGUAGAUCUUGUUUUGCUGAUCGUUUUCGUUAUUAAAUCAAUGUCUAUCUAUUAUAAUUUUGAAGAUCAAAUGCAAAAAUGAAACAAAUUGGUAUAACUCAUCAUUUAAGGACAAUAACUGAAAAAAAAGUUGUCUGACAUUUUUGAUUUAAAUAGACAGACAGUAGAUCUCAUCUUUCAGAACAUCUGUGACAUCCUUCAGAUUUUCUCCAUCUAAAGUUGUUUUAAAAAUUAGUUCUUUUUUUAGCCAUGUCAGCCAUGUUUGUUGGCAUGCGGGUUCAUCGGACAUAAAAUUUAAAGAAGAUACUCCAAUGAUGAUUGUGGCCAAAUUUGAUUAAAUUUAGCA